rnacentral:rRNA from 1 species
UACGUAGGGUGCAAGCGUUGUCCGGAAUUACUGGGCGUAAAGGGCUCGUAGGUGGCCAACUAAGUCAGACGUGAAAUCCCUCGGCUUAACCGGGGAACUGCGUCUGAUACUGGAUGGCUUGAGAUUGGGAGAGGGAUGCGGAAUUCCAGGUGUAGCGGUGAAAUGCGUAGAUAUCUGGAGGAACACCCGUGGCGAAGGCGGCUCUCUGGGACGGUACUGACGCUGAGACGCGAAAGCGUGGGGAGCGAACAGG